rnacentral:rRNA from 1 species
UACGGGAGGCAGCAGUGGGGAAUAUUGCACAAUGGGCGCAAGCCUGAUGCAGCCAUGCCGCGUGUAUGAAGAAGGCCUUCGGGUUGUAAAGUACUUUCAGUCGUGAGGAGGGUGUUAAGGUUAAUAACCUUAGCAAUUGACGUUAGCGACAGAAGAAGCACCGGCUAACUCCGUGCCAGCAGCCGCGGUAAUACGGAGGGUGCGAGCGUUAAUCGGAAUUACUGGGCGUAAAGGGCACGCAGGCGGUUAAUUAAGUUGGAUGUGAAUCCCCGGGCUUAACCUGGGAAUGGCAUUCAAGACUGGUUAGCUAGAGUCUUGUAGAGGGGGUAGAAUUCCAUGUGUAGCGGUGAAAUGCGUAGAGAUGUGGAGGAAUACCGGUGGCGAAGGCGGCCCCUGGGACAAAGACUGACGCUCAUGUGCGAAAGCGUGGGGAGCGAAACAGGAUUAGAU